CAAACGACUCUCGGCAACGGAUAUUUGGUUUUUCAUAAUGAAAAACUUAGAAUUGCAAUACUUGGUGUGAAUUGCAGAAUCCCGUGAACCAUCGAGUCUUUGAACGCAAGUUGCGCCCGAAGCCACUAGGCCGAGGGCACGUCUGCCUGGGCGUCACGC
rnacentral:rRNA from 1 species